UCAGCCAAGAAGUGGAAGCCGUGCAAAUAUCUAUCCACAGAGCAAUCAGAGCUAUAUAUACAUAUAUAUAUACAUAUAUAUGUACAUAUACAUAUAUACAUAUAUAUACAUAUACAUAUAUACAUAUACAUAUACACACACACAUAUGUGACACACACACACAUAUAUAUACACAUAUAUAUGUGUACACACACAUAUAUACAUAUAUAUGUAUACAUAUAUACACAUAUAUACAUAUACAUAUAUAUACACAUAUAUAUACAUAUAUACAUAUAUACAUAUAUAUACACACACACAUAUAUAUAUGUGACACACACACACACAUAUAUAUAUACACAUAUAUAUGUGUACACACACACAUAUACAUAUAUAUGUGUGUGUGUAUAUAUGUAUAUGUAUAUGUAUGUACGUGUGUAUAUAUAUAUGUAUAUGUAUAUGUAUGUAUAUAUGUACAUGUAUAUA
rnacentral:lncRNA from 1 species